CGGAGGGUGCAAGCGUUGUCCGGAUUUAUUGGGUUUAAAGGGUGCGUAGGCGGCUCUUUAAGUCAGUGGUGAAAGCCGACAGCUUAACUGUCGAAAUGCCAUUGAUACUGGGGAGCUUGAGUACAGUAGAGGUAGGCGGAAUUAAUGGUGUAGCGGUGAAAUGCAUAGAUACCAUUAAGAACACCGAUUGCGAAGGCAGCUUACUAUAGUGUAACUGACGCUGAGGCACGAAAGUGUGGGGAUCAAACAGGAUUAGAUACCCUGGUAGUCCACACUGUAAACGAUGAUCACUCGCUGUUGGCGAUAGACAGCCAGCGGCUUAGCGAAAGCGAUAAGUGAUCCACCUGGGGAGUACGCUCGCAAGAGUG
rnacentral:rRNA from 1 species